CCUACGGGGGGCUGCAGUAACGAAUCUUCCGCAAUGCACGCAAGUGUGACGGAGCGACGCCGCGUGUGGGAUGAAGUCCUUCGGGAUGUAAACCACUGUCAGGGGUUAGAAAGUUCUGAUCAACCCCAGAGGAAGGGGCGACUAACUCUGUGCCAGCAGUCGCGGUAAUACAGAGGCCCCAAGCGUUCGGCGGAAUCACUGGGCUUAAAGCGUGUGUAGGCGGCCCGAUAAGUACUUUGUGAAAUCCCACGGCUCAACCGUGGAACUGCUUGGUA
rnacentral:rRNA from 1 species